AUUGAACGCUGGCGGCAUGCCUUACACAUGCAAGUCGAACGGCAGCGGGGGAGAAGCUUGCUUUUCCUGCCGGCGAGUGGCGAACGGGUGAGUAGUACAUCGGAACGUGCCCUGUAGUGGGGGAUAACUAGUCGAAAGAUUAGCUAAUACCGCAUACGACCUGAGGGUGAAAGUGGGGGACCGCAAGGCCUCAUGCUAUAGGAGCGGCCGAUGUCUGAUUAGCUAGUUGGUGGGGUAAGGGACUACCAAGGCGACGAUCAGUAGCUGGUCUGAGAGGACGAUCAGCCACGCAGGGACUGAGACACGGCCCGGACUCCUACGGGAGGCAGCAGUGGGGAAUUUUGGACAAUGGGCGAAAGCCUGAUCCAGCAAUGCCGCGUGUGUGAAGAAGGCCUUCGGGUUGUAAAGCACUUUUGUCCGGAAAGAAAUGGCUCUGGUUAAUACCUGGGGUCGAUGACGGUACCGGAAGAAUAAGGACCGGCUAACUACGUGCCAGCCGCCGCCGUAA
rnacentral:rRNA from 1 species